UACGUAGGGGACAAGCGUUGUCCGGAUUUACUGGGCGUAAAGAGCGCGCAGGCGGUCGUUCAAGUCGGGUGUGAAAGCCCCCGGCUCAACUGGGGAGGGUCACUCGAUACUGAUCGACUCGAAGGCAGGAGAGGGUAGUGGAAUUCCCGGUGUAGUGGUGAAAUGCGUAGAUAUCGGGAGGAACACCAGUGGCGAAGGCGACUACCUGGCCUGUUCUUGACGCUGAGGCGCGAAAGCUAGGGGAGCAAACGGG
rnacentral:rRNA from 1 species